UAUUUUUUUUUUUUUUUGUUGUAAUGUUUAUUUCUUUUAAAGUGUUAUUGGUGACUAUAUUUAGGCGUUGAGUUUGGCUGCAGAGAAAUGGAGAGAAUUAAGUUCUAAUUAUUUGGUAUUUUGUUGCUUGAUACUAGAGAAAACAUUGACUUUUAACCUAAUAUUGUUGUUCUUGGUUUUUUCCUGCAUUAGAAUGAGAGAAUUGGGGCAAUUCAUUAUAAUUGAGUAUUAAGUGAUUCUAAGCAUUAAACAAAGAAAAGUUGAAUUAUUAUUAUUAUAUUUUAUACUUCUAAGCUAUUUUAAUAUAACGUAAUGUAAAAUAGAGAGAAAUGCAAUGUAAUUAUCAUUUUGUUUGCAUCUUUGGUUGCAAAACAUAUAUAUAUAUAAUGUAAUCAUAAUUUUUGCUAUAAUAAUUGGUCUUUUUUUUUCCGGUGGUAAUAACAAGUAACAACAAAGUGACAGUGGUGGUUGCUGAGUGGUGGUGGGCUGGUGGCAGCAGUUCUGAAGGUAGUGGUGGUAGUUGUCAAGUAGUAGUAGCAAUUACCGCUUUUGCAUUAUUAUUAUGAUAAAAAAUUAAAAAAAAAAUUGUGGCAACAACACAAUGUUUGGGAUUAUUUUAAUAAAAUAAGAUAAUGUUUACUCCAUGAAACAGGAAAACUAAAACAGAAAUGUUAGGUUAAACAAUUUGUCAUGUUUGGAAAUUUCAAGGGAUAUGAAAGUAUUAUAAGCAUUAAAAGAAAUGGGAGGAUAAACAAUUUCUCAUGUUUGGAAGUUUCAAGGAAUAAGUAUAAUAAUUAUAUUAAGAAAAUAUUUUUAAUGUUCAGGGGUGAAUAACUCUUAUUCCUUCAAUUUUUAUGACUUUGAUUAUGCCCUAUCAAAUAUAUCCUUAAUAUUUUCUUUGUUAUAAAAGUUGUACAUUAGUAGAUUUAAGCAGUAGAAGAAUUGGCAUGGAAUGUGUAAUUAGAUUGUGACAGAGCGAGGAUCCUUUUCUACACAUUGAGCUGGAAAGCGUUGAGAGGGAGAGGGUGUUGCUCACUAAAUUGAGAGAAGGGGGAAGGAUAAAGAGGUGAGGAGAG
rnacentral:misc_RNA from 1 species